CGCACGACUCAGUCGGAGUGACGAGGAACCUUGUAGAUUACAAAUUUUAUUGUUUCAGAGACUUGGUAAGUGAGUGAGAAGGCCAUAAUAAAGCCUGUCCACUCACCAACGAGUGUAUAAGUCAGGGAAAGUCUUGAGGGGACCCCUGUGAAGACGAGCAGAACUCCAUUCCCUGCAGUCCUUACAUCCUGGAAGCUGAGGUGCCUUCACACGGACAAAGACUGAGGAUGACGA
rnacentral:lncRNA from 1 species